CUGUAAAGGGGAUAUAACCAACUAGAUUAUGUCAAUUUUAUAUCUUGUCCUACAUCAUUUUAUGGGCUGUUCUUGCAAAUAACAUUGCCUUAGGUAAAGUGGUGAAAAUGUUGAAGCAAGCCAUGAUGAUCGCCCACCCAUUUCAUUUGUUUCCCAGAUUAUGAGAAACAAAGCAGGAAUACGGAGAAGUCCCCCAAAAGAAAGAAGCAAACUUUCAUGGGAUAGAAGAACGAUGAAAUACUACAGUUGCGGCUUUCUGGGAUUGAUCAAGUUAAUGUGUGAAAGAGGGGUCAUUCCUAGCAAAGAGAUGCUUGAGCUGAAGGAUUAUGUCUUAAACCGUGGCUACUUUGACAUUCAAUCCAUUGAAUACUUAGAGAUCCUUGAUGCCGUGAAAAUGAACCCCCCUGUUGUUGGCUAGAAUAGAUUGUUAGGUGGUGCCAUGAAAGUAUAAUGAUACUUGAUUAGUUUCUUAACAAACUGAAGAUUUGUGUGUGUCAAAGGUAGCCUUCUUUAAUCUAAAAAUAAAAAUAUUUUAAGCAUAAAGUCUAAAAGGGAGCUUGCAUGGCCUUUUCCUGUAUUGUUUCGUUGGGAAAUCUUUCAAGUUACAUUAUGUAUUCAAUCUGCG
ensembl:lncRNA